rnacentral:lncRNA from 1 species
AAACAAAUUUUUAAAAAAAAUUAUAGUAUGUUAACAAAGCGUCAUAAAAUUAUUUUUAAAAAUAUUAAAAAAAAAUUAAUUUUUUUAAAACUAAAACAAACAGAUUUUUGCUUCUGAGCCAUCAUCUUACAAAUUCAAGAGUUAAUAAAAAUAGGAAAAUUAAAGAAAAAGCUUGAGUGUCAUUACAAUAACUAAUUAAAAGAUCUUAAAUAUUCAAUCGUAUAUUUUAUACUCUCCCAGAUCUGAUACUCGUAGAAUCAGAAAUGUUUUGUACUUUCUUCACACUUGUUACCAAUGCACUUAAUAACAUAAAACACGUUAUCACUUUGUGGACAAUCUUCAUCAGCUUCACAAAUAUCUUCUAUAAUGAAACAAAAAAAAGAAUAAUAUGAUGUUAUUAUGAGAUGAUAAAAGACUGUGUGCAAACUACGAAACAAAGAAUGAAUUCUGAAAAGAAAAAAUGGCUCACCACUUCCAACUUUCAUAGUGACAAGGAACAAGGAAAGGUAAAGAAUCAUAGAACAAACAAACUUUAUAAUUUUAGCCAUAUUUUUCUCCAUUGCAUUGUAAAAAACUGAAUGUUAGCUCUUUAUAGUCACAAAGUUCAUGCUUAUCUAUAAAAAAAAUAUAGUUUUUAACACUUAUGAAGCAGUAAAAACCUUUCAUAAAGAUAUAAUUAUUAUUGAAUACCUCUUGGGGGUAGGAUUAGCUACUUUUAUUAUUGACUCUCUUUAGUGCCGUGUAUAUUAAAACUUAAAUAAAUAAUUAUAAAAAUAGUUAGAUGAGAGAGAAAGAAUAGGGAAAUGAAAGAGAUUUCUUUCCCAAUGACAGUCUCUUGCGUAUGAAAAUACAACAUUAUCAUUGUAAAAUCACUUCACUUAUUUUUUAAAUUUAUAGCUGUAAUACCCCAAAAUUUACCGUACAAUAUUUCCUGGAAGCAUGGGAUUAUGUUUCACACUUCAUUGGCAUCAUACUAGGUCAUACUCAUUGCAUACUGCAUUAGUGACUUGGAAAUCAGGUUUUGAUUGAUCACUCCUUAACAGAAGGAUGUUUCACACUUCAUUGGCAUCAUACUAGGUCAUACUCAUUGCAUACUGCAUUAGUGACUUGGAAAUCAGGUUUUGAUUGAUCACUCCUUAACAGAAGGAGCCCACACAAAGCAAGAUUGAGAAUUGAACUUCAUUCUCUAGGUAUACCAGUCUCAAGGGUCUCAGGGGGCUCUAGGUAUCUUAUUAUGGUCUUCAGUUCAUCAGUGAAGGAUUCAGAGCUAUCAGAGUGUUCAUCUGGAUUUAAUCAAGAAAUUAGGAUUUCAUGGCUACAUGCAACAAGCAAUGUUUGGUUGGAAGUAUAGGAGCUCAUCCAUGUCAUGAUUGGAGAGGCAUCUUGGCCUAGGAAGAUUCACAAUUAUCUCAGAAAGAUUCAUUGGCAAGCAGUGCAAUCAGUCCACGAUCAAUUUUGCCCUAAAAUUAGGGUUUGGUAUAAAAUCAGUUUAUUUCUGAUUCUUUGGGUGAAACUCUUUGCACUCACUUUAAGCCCAUUUUCCAUCAAGAUAAAAGUUCCAUUUGAAAAUUUCUCCAACAUGAAGCUUGUUCCUCUUGUUCCAAGCUUUAUAGAAAUAUAAAGUUUGCCCCAUAUGGAUCAAAAUUGAGAAAGUUAUGCUUGGUCAAAGUAGGGCAUAUUUUUAGGACACUUAGAAAAAUUUCUAAGUCUAAAAAUCUUUAAAUUUUGUCAAAGAUUUUUGGCCAGUUUUCUUGCACUUCAAGGCACCAUUUGAAAAUAUUUUCUUCACAACCAUUAUACCUUGUCAUGUCCUCUUUCACCUCCCUUUGGAGUCAUCUCAUUUGGAUCCAUGGUUUGAGAGAUACACUCACUUAAAGUAAGUACCAUGACUUGAAAUUUCUAGGCAGAUUUCAAGUCACCUUGGCCAGCCUUGCAUUUUUUCAGUUUUGCUCAACUUUAGGUCUCUUUUUAGGUUGCUUCUCCUCACCAUUUCUUUUAACUUUGAACAUCAAAGAUACUCUCCAAUAUGCCAUCUUUCAUAUGCCUUUGGAAUGAGAUUCAUAGGAUGUUUCAUUUGCAAGAUAUUAACCUCUAAAGUCAUCACUUAGACCUGAUUUUGGUGCCCAACAUUUAUGCCUAGCUUGCCGAACCAAUCUUGCAAUGCUGUGACAUGAUCUUGAGGUCCAUUUUUCAUCUUCUUCCACUCAUUAUUUCCACCCAUUCUCAACAUGAAACAUGUUAUACUCCAUAUUUUCUUCCUACUGUUUGCAUUAUCUCCUCAAUUGGUGAUUUGCUCAUCAAGUUAUGUUGCCAUAAAGUCACCACCUUGAAUCAAUUCCUUGCUUGCUGCCAGACCAAGCCAUGCUGCACAAAUGCACCUCCACAGCCAAUGUUUUGUUUUCCUUAUUUGGCCAUACAUCACAUUUCCACUCACCUAGAAAUCUUACCAAAAUAAGAAACAGCACCUCACGUGCCCUCUUUCCCAUUUCUAAUACACCUCACCAAAUGCAACCAACUUGCAUCACUUGCUCAUGGAUAAACAGAUUGUUUUAGAGCCCAUUAAGGAGUUUGACCCACAAUACUUAAAUCUAGAAACCCUAAGCAUGAAAGGAGGCCACUGGAUUUUCGAGCAAGAAAAGGCAAGGUUCAUUAGAAGUCAGCUUGUAUUUCUCAGCAAGGUCUCAAGGUGAAGCUCUUGAAGCACCAAGGAAGCAUCAUUUUCUUCUAGUCUCUCCACAGUCGAGAAGCAGUGGACUAGACUUCCACUAGGUAACUCUCUUGCUCCAUUUCCAUAGCCAUUUAUUUACACAUCUAUGCCCAUUAUCAUGCUUGUUCCAUUACCAUGCUAAUCAUGCUUACUUCUGAAGCCCUCAGUACGAGGCAUUGUUCAUGGUGUUGAGUUGUGUUGUUAAUUUUCUGCUCAUGUCCGUGUUCAUAUUGACACAUUGCUGCUAACUUUUCUCCAUGAAUAAGCUACCAUUUCACCUAAAAGAAGUUACCACAUUAAUUAUCGCAUUUUGUACUUGAGAUCUGGGCUUUGUUUCAUGAUUUUUGAUGCAAUAUAGUGUUCGUAUUUUUGUGUUGAAGUUGAGAGAAACACACUGCAUUUCCUGCGUUUUCUGCAUGAUUAUGGCUAGGGUUUGGCUCAAGGAAGAAGACGACCACGUGUCGUCUUGAGAGCCAUUGGAUCCAGCGUUUCUGUUUUAAUCUUGUCCGUCCGCUGCCUUUUGUCUUUUAGUGACUUAAGUUGAAAGUGACCAAUUGAUAAGUGUUCACAUGUUUUUUUAUUAAAAUGUUCAUUUAAGAUGUCACGCCCUGAUUUAAGUUUGGUUUGGAUCAUGGGCUUCCACUUUUUGCUUUUGACACCCUGCGCUUAUGGCCCAUUAGCGUAUCACUCAUUUCUCAGUUCAAUCACAAAUGCUAAUACACCACCUCUUUUCAUGUUCUUUUUUUUUAAUUCCCAAUUUAUUUAUGUUUUGAUUUUAAUUAAUUUAAAAUGUUUUAUUUGUUCAUAAAAAUAUCCAAAAAUAUUUUCCAUAUUGCUUGAUGCCUUAUUUAAUUUUAUUUAAUUUUUAUUUUCGCAUUUACCUAGUAUUAAUAUUUUAUUUUAAUUAUUCAUUCUAAGUGGUCCAUUUUAGCAUACAUUUGAUGCUUGAUUUUAUUUUUAUAACUUAAAAUUAUUUUCAGCUUCUGAUUUUUGGGAUGAAGGUUGACCAUUGCGCCAUGGUCAACCUGACUUUUUCUUAGAUUUAUUUCAAUUAUUUUUAAAAUCUUUUUGGGGGAUGAUGAUGUCCUAACCCCACCUUACUUAGUUUAAUUUUUCAUAAUUUUCAUGAUUAAUUUGCUAUUUAUUUGAUAUUUAUUAAGUUGGCUCGAAUUUUCAGUUGAUUUCUUUAUGAUCAAUGUUUGAUUUAGGGAUUGCUUAUGGCAAUUGAAGAGAUCUUUUGAUCCUCCCUUGUUCAUCUCAUAGACCAUGUAUUAGAGGCCUUUUAUCUUGAUUUUAUAUGAUCCUUACCUCAUUUCUUGAUUUGAUUAUUUCAGUAGACCCUGCGCAUCUUUUCAUCUGUCUGAUUCAUCUGUUAUCUGUUAUACUUGUUUCUUUCAUCCAUGCUUACUAUUGCUUGAUUGUUUAACAUGUUCAUACUUCCCAUGCCUUGUUUAAUGCUCCGCUAUUUUAUUCUUUGAUUCUUUGAUUUGAUUAUUUACCUGUUUACUUAUCUGGUUUGAUUGAUAACGGUUGCCUACUUGUAUGAUGAUUGAGGCAUAUAUUCUUAUUGUUUGAUUGCCAUGAACCAUCCCCAUUCAUAAAAAAUGUACCCCUAUCCCAUAAAGUGUAUAAUAUUUAUUCUUUCAUUCUUUAUUCAUCUAUUAAUACAAGAAUUAAAACGAACAUCCGAUAAUCAUUUCAAAACAAGAUCAAAAGCUCGAUCCAACGUAAUUCUUUCAUUCUUUAUUCAUCUAUUAAUACAAGAAUUAAAACGAACAUCCGAUAAUCAUUUCAAAACAAGAUCAAAAGCUCGAUCCAACGUCGAGUAAUCAUUUUCAAAACUUAACAGAACCAACACACAUUCAUCCAUCCUCUUGUAAGUCGAUCGCCUCAGGCAUCGCCAUCUCUUGUAAGUCGAUCGCCUCAGGCAUCGCCAUCUACCUUUAUCCAUGGCUCCUCUCCUUGCUCCGUCCGUCGACUCUUGUUCCGUUUAGGUAGCACCCAUUAGGUAGAACCCUUUGUAUGAUAACAUAGGUAGAAUUUCCUUAUUCUUUGCAUGCUAACAUUAGGUAGAUGUUCCCUUUUGUAAAUCCUAACACAUAGGUCCACAUUGCAUGAUAACUUUAGGGCAAAGUUUCCCCACUUUUAGACCUUCCGUGUGUCUCCGAUCUUGUGGCAUGUCAGUCCGUUCUAUUGCAAAGAGGUAACUGCCUAAGACUCGAUUCAGCGAGCUGCGAUACCUACUGCUAGGACGUUGAACACAUUACCCACUUUCCUUUGACAUAGCUGGUGUCCUCUUUUGUAAGUCCAUGUUCAUAUGGCAAUCCUUAACCCCUAGUUAGCCGAACUACGGCAACUCUGAUUCUCAUGUUCAGAUGAGAUACGUAGGCACGAGACGCGAUGUCUUGCCGAGUUUUACUGACGACUAACAACUAACCCUUGCUUGCUUUCGCCCUUGCUGCGAUUCUUUUCUCUCGCCCUCGUUGCGAUCGAGACCUUCCCUUUCUCUUGCCCUAGUUGCAAUCGAGACCUUUGUUCCCGUAGUUAGCUGAAUUACGUUUUUCUCUGAUUCUCAUUCCAGAUGAGAUACGUAGGCAUAAGACGCGAUGUCUUAUCGAGCACACUUCUCUUUCGCCCAUAGGUAGCCGAGCUACGAAGACUCUGAUUCUCAUACUCAGGUGAGAUACGUAAGAUACGUAGGCAUAAGACGCGAUGUCUUAUCGAGCACACUUCUCUUUCGCCCAUAGGUAGCCGAGCUACGAAGACUCUGAUUCUCAUACUCAGGUGAGAUACGUAGGUAGUGGAUGCGACAUCCUUGCGAGUCAAUUUCUUUUGACCUUCUUUUAGCAGAUAGUACCUUAGAUAUACCUACACCCUUUAGACUAUAACAACAAGAGUGGAUACCUUAGAGUACUACGGAUGCGUAGGGGUGCUAAUACCUUCCCUUCGCAUAAUCGACUCCCAAACCCUAGAUUUGGUUGUGAGACCUUGGCUUUUCCUCUCUUCAGGUUUUCUUCGAUCGUUUCCUUUCCCUCAUUUGGGAUAAAUAACGAACGGUGGCGGCUCUUCUGUUUUUUCCCGCCGGUUGUUUUUUUUGCGUUGCGACAAUAGGAUUUAAACGAUUUUUUUAUAAAUUUUGUAUUUGCCUAACUCUUUUGUAGGUAAGGCAUGACCACUAUUGAUCUAUCAAGUUCACAUCUAGGGUUUAAGACCCUCAUUUCUAAGAGCACAACCAAGGAAUGAUCCAUAAUUUCUCUAGGCAUUAUACAUGAGUCCCCAUGAUCUCUACAUGUUAUUUUGAUCAAGAUUUCUUCAAGAGUUUGGAGUUGGUUUACCUUGGAAACCCUAGUUCAUCUAGGUAUCUUGAGUAACUUCUUCAACAAGCUUCUUCACCAAUUGAUCAAAUUUCUCAAGGGACACUUCAAAUUUCAUCUUCUUAUGCAUAUAUGAUCUACCAUGAGCCUAAUAAGUCAAGAUAAUUACAAGUUAGCAAGUUGGUUGAUGGUGGUUGGCCAGAUGAAUUCAUCUGAUCAAAACUGGGUCCCCCUAGACCCUAUCUCCUACAAUUUUUAUCAUAUGAAAAUUAUUACAAGAGAAAAAUUACUCUAAAUGAUAUUUCAAAUAACUUUCAUGUUGAAGUCUAGAGCUAAUUUUGCUUGGAAAGUCAUUGUCUAUGUUAAAACAUUAUAGGUCAUUUUGUCUAAACCCUAAUUUGAAAGUCAACUUCCCAAGGUCAUAAUUUGCUCAAUUUUUAUGAUAUGAAAUAUUUCCAAGUUGCACAAUCAAAUUCAAUGUGUCUAAUAUAACUUUUAUGUUUGUAGUAAGAUCUAAAUCAACAUUGAACAAGUGAUUUUCCUCAACUUCAAAAAUGCAUAACUCAUUCAUCACAAUUCCAAAUGAUGUCAAAUUUUUGACUGUUUUGAAGGUUUUUGAAAUAGCUACAACUUUAAUGAAGACACGUUUCUCAUUUGGAGCUCACAUAAAAAGUUAGGCAAGGUGGAAUAAUUGAACAUGUGGCUUGACACUUAGAAAAUAUUUUGACAUGUUGAAAUUUCCGAACUUCCACCUCAAACUUCACCAUGAUACAAGUUCCAAAUGGAAAAGUGCUCAACAUAAGAGUUGUUCCUCUUGAUCUAAGCUUUCCAAAGAGUCCUAAUUCGUUCAUUUUGGACAAAUAUUAAGGGGUCUGCGUAUGGCUUAAACAGGGUUGUAUCAGUUGGUAAGAAUCAUGUUUCAAACAUUCAAAUCUAUUUGCCUUGCAAUCCAAGCUUCAUUCAGACCUCAUUUCAGUUGAUUGUGGACCUAGUAGAGUUGCUUCAUGGGCCUGCACACGCCCAUGCAAGCAUGUAUAUUGCAUUGCCAAUUUUGGAAGUAUUUUCAAGUGUGCAAAUAACACUCAUCUUUUGCUAUAAAUAGAGGUCCAAUGCUUCAGUUUCAAGAACCUUGCGCGCCAGCUUUGAAUCCCUAGCUCCAAACCCUCACCAUUCAAAGGAAAACCUAAUAAAUUUCAAUUGAAAUUUGAGUUUGAUUCUCACUGUUUGGAGAUUCAAAAACUCCAGGAUCCAAAGCUUUGCACCCUUCUUAAUCCACUUCUCCAAGCUCCAUAAGCAAGAUCAAACAAGAAUUGAAGCAAGAGAGAUCCAUUUCUGCACAGCGUUGAAGGUAUUUUUCCAUAUUUUUCUUCUCUUCAAUUCUCUCUCAAUUCUCAAUAGUUCUCUUGGAUCCUUGGUUGUCUGAAGUACUACCAAUGUAGCCAAGAAGAUUGAGUUGCUUUGAGGUCAAGUCGAAGCAACUCGGUUGACACAACUUAAAAUUCAACUCCACGUAUCUCUCUAUAUAUUUGGAGUUAGGUUAAAUUAAGGUGAUAUUCAUGAUCUAGGCCAUUUUUUCUUUAAGAUCAUGUCCUCCUUUUUCAUUUAUGAUAUGGUGAUGAAUGAACCAGUCCGGCCAGGGUCAUCGAAGAAGAUGAUCGGACUUUGGCUCCGGCGAUGAGCUGGAAGUAUUCAGAGCCAUUGAUUUGAUUUAAAACGUUUUAAUCUGAAGCACUCAUUGUGAUUACCAAGCGUGUGAAAUAUUGACUAGCGUGCACCAUGGAAUGCGUGCUCUCCACCACUUGAUCUGCCACCUCAAUUAAUGAGGGAGAUCAAGUGGUCCACAUUUUUUUUGUUAUCUAAUUUUUAUUUUUAUUACUUUGUUUUUCAUUAAUUCAUAUUAAUUUUAAUAUUGAUCCAAAAAAUAUGAGAGUUUCACCAAAAAAAUUUAAAUAAAAUCAUCUUUCAUUUUCUGAAUUAAAAUUAUUUUUUUGGAUCAUUAUUAAUAUUUUUCAUGAUUUAAUUGAUUUUGUGAAUAUUUUUCAUUCUUUAAAAAUACUUUUAAGAUUCCAAAAAUUCAAAAAAAAAUUCUCCAAGGUCCUUUGACCUUGUUUGACCUAUGAAAAAUCUCAUGGCCAUUUCUUUGGUGUUUUGAUGAGGUUUUUUAGGAAUUUGACCAACCAUAUUUAAUUUAAUGCAUUCUUUUUAAUUUUUUUAAUUGGUUAAUUGCCAAAUUAAUUGUGUAGAGCCAUUUUAAUUGACUUUGUGAGUUUAACUUGUGUUGUUGGGCCUUGGUCAAGGUAGAUUUGACUUUGCUAAGUUAAGAUCAUUGGAUUUAGGGGAUUGAUGGAAUGUACACUCCAUCUCCCAAAAUGAAUGAAUAAUCUUAAUUUGGUAAGAGUCCUCCUUUGACCAAUUUGUGUUUGAUCCAUUUCCCCUCCCUCUUCAUCUCAUUCCCCUUCUUUAUUCAUUCAUGUCAUGGACCUAUGAUAUCUUUAUAUCCUAAGGCUAGUUGAUUGCAAAAUCAACAUAAGUAUGGAUAAGAUUAGGUCCCCCACUCUGCAUAUUCUUUUUGUGUGUGGUAUGUAUCAUGAGCAUAGUCCAUUAUACUAUGUCUCUAACAUGCAUUAACACCAAAAUUCUAUUGCCCGACCUCAAAUAGUUGUGACUUCUACAUAAGUCCAAUUAUGAUUGCUUAACAUAGCGCUAAAUUUUGACACAAAAGGCAUAAUGCAUUAACACCAAAAUUCUAUUGCCCGACCUCAAAUAGUUGUGACUUCUACAUAAGUCCAAUUAUGAUUGCUUAACAUAGCGCUAAAUUUUGACACAAAAGGCAUAGCAUUCUAGUUAGUGAGAUUUUAAUUCUCCCCUCUUGCAUGGUAUUGUGUGGAAACUUGGCCUUUUUCCUUCCUUUGGAAGAUGUCUUGGUUCAAGGAUCCAUGCUUGUGUUAAGGGGGUUGAGUGUUCUCCAAAGAAUGACUUAAAACAAAAGCAAAGCAAAAGCAAUACAAACUUCUAAUCAACUAACAACUAACAUUUAAUUUCAAGUCAUUUAAUUUUAAUGCACUUUAAUUUUGAGCCUUAUUCAUUUGCCAUUAUUCAUACCACUCAAGUUGUUUACUUUAAUGUCAUUUUCCCUUUGUCCACUUGGACCAUAUUUUGUGAUAUAUUUUGUUUAUGUAUAUUGUGUUUGUUUGUGUGGUCUUUGACCAUUAAUGUACAUAAUAAGAACAAAAAACCCUAAAAAAAUAUCUUGUGUGGACUGUUGGUUUGAUCUGAGACAAUUGGACUUAGAAUUUAGGCAACAAUCCUUAUGCAAAGGCCUUGGCCAAUGCCAAUUUUCACGUAACCAAGUGCUUGAAAUUUGAAACUCCAUCUGAUACAUCAUUGAAUAUCCAUCUGAGUUCAUAUGUAACAUGAUCAUGUUGAAGCUGUUAUAUUGAACCUGUGAUUUGUGCCAUCUUGAAAUUCAUCUUCUACAUGGGCAAACUUGAAGAAGAUCAUGGAGUUUUUAAGCUUGGAUGUGGCUAUCUUUAUUUGAUUCCUUGCUCUUCAACUUGCUGUUUGUAUAUUGUUGUUGCUUGAUUCAAAAGUACAAGGGAAAUUUGUGUUUCUAUAUGACAUUCUUGUCUAUUGGAUUGCAGCCCAUUGGUCAGAUCUUUUCAACUCUCAACUUUUAAAUUUUAUGCUUAGGAUUAGUCUCUUCAUCUCCUCCCCACUUCUUUAAUUUCAAAAUGCUCUCCCUGGAUCCUUUAAAAGUCUUAUUUGCUUGUGUUUGUUGAUUUCUAAACUUUGCCAUCUUUGCAAACUAGAAACUUUGGCCUUAUGCCAUUGCAUUUUCAAACUCAUUUCUUAAUCAAAGUUGUAAAUAAACUUAACUAUACUUGACUUAAAAAUUUCAAAAGCCAAAAGAACUAACACUCAUUCAAAACAUUUUUAGGCCUUUUGUGCCUUUCGAACUUAACUUUUUGUUAAAAGCAAUGCACUCACUUUGAAAUUGAUACCCACGAACUACGAGGUUUUGAUCCCUCAUUUUUAUGUUGGUACGUAGGCACAAGUCCGAAGGUCUUGUCAAACACAAAAAUAUAAUUAAUGAAUUCUCUUCUCAUCCCCACACUCUUUUUAUUUGCAAACAUCAUUUGUACAAAAACACAUAUGCUCACAAGAAAGGACUCCCUAGGAGUACCUAUGACACUUUGUGUGCUAACACCUUCCCUCUUUGUAACCAACCCCCUUAUCUGUAAUCUCUGGCAUUUUAUUAGUUUUGAUUUGAAAACUUCUUAUUCUUGGGUUUUGUUCGUACUUUUCCCUUUUCCCUUGAAAAUAAUAAAAGCGUGGUGGAGACUCUUGUUUAAUUGAUGUCUAGCUUAUCCAUAGCUUGAUGAUCAUGAAUUUACCGCUACAACAACAAAGGAUCCAUUCUUGGAAAAGGUAUUAUCGGUAAUCCCUCAUCUACUACUACCUCGGAUGUAAUGCUUGAUGGUCUUAAAUAUACCCUUCUUAGCAUUAGCCAACUUUGUGACAAAAGUUUUAAAGUCACUUUCACUAAUACUUGUUAUUUAUUUAAGCAUAAUUAGAAGAAGGAUUGUUUGUUUAAGGGAUUGAGAUUCAAUUAUACUUAUAUGCUAAAUUUAGAGUUGGUACUAAGUGCCUUGCUACCAUGAGUGAAAACUCUUGGUUGUGGCAUAUGAACUUAACUCAUAUUAACUUUGACUUACUAAACAAAGUAACCUCAAAGGAUCUAGUAAUUGGUCUUCCUAAAAUGAAGUUCACAAAAGACCACCUAUGUAAAGCAUGUCAAAUGGGGAAGCAAACGAAGGUCUCUUUUAUAUCGAAAAAUGUAGUUUCAACAUCUAGACCUCUUGAACUUCUUCAUAUGGACCUUUUUGGUUCUUUUAGAACUAAAAGCUUAGGUGGAAACUAUUAUGGAUUUGUUAUACUUGAUUAUUAUUCUAGAUUUUGUUGGUUAUGUUUUGUCUAGUAAGAAUGAGACCUACUUGACUUUCAAAUUAUUUGCUAGAUUAUUCCAAAAUAAAAUGAACUUAAAAAUCAUUUCCAUCCGAAGUGGUCACGAAGGAGAGUUUGAAAAUCUACUCUUUGAAAAUUAUUGUGAAAAACAUGGUAUUGAGCAUAACUUCUUGGCUCAUAUAACUCCACAACAAAAUGGGGUUGUGGAGCGUAAAAAUCGAGUUUUAGAGGAGUUAGCAAGGACGAUGCUUAAUGAAGGUAAUUUACCAAAGUACUUAUAGGUCGAUGAUAUUAGCAUGGCGUGUUAUGUUUUGAAUAGGAUUUUGAUACGUCCCAUUCUAAACAAAACCCCCUAUGAAUUACUUAGAGGUAAAAAAACCUAAUGUCUCUCACCUUCAUGUCUUUGGAUGUAAAUAUUUUAUGUUGAACAAUGGAAAGGACAAUCUAGGUAAAUUUGAUGCUAAAGCCAAUGAGGGUAUCUUCCUCGGAUACUCAUAAUCUAGUAAGUCAUAUAGGGUCUAUAACAAGAGGCUACUUAUUUUUGAGGAGUCCGUUCAUGUAUCUUUUGAUAAGUCUUUUCUGGAAAAUGUUGGGAAAGGUAUGUCUUUUCAUGAUAUAGGUGUGUCUUCGCAUGACAUUCUCAAGGAAGCUGAUAAAGGAAUUGAUCAACCUCAAACAGAUGAAAAUGAGAAAGUAGAAUAUGAUGGUCAAGAAGAGGAAAAUGAGGAGAGUCCGACUGCAGUGAAUAACCUUCCUUUGACUUGGAGAACACACAAAUAUCACCCAAUUGAUAAUAUUUUUGGAGAUAUCACAAGAGGCGUGACAACACGCUUUAAGAUAAGUAACUUUUGUUAUCACUUUGCUUUUGUCUCACAGGUUAAGCCUAAAAAUGCUAAAGAUGUAUUACUUGAUAAGCAUUGGCUCAAGGAAUUGGAAGAUAAGCUAAAUCAAUUUAAAAUGAAUGAUGUUUGGGACCUUGUCACGCAUCCAAAACAUCAUCAAGUAAUAGGAACGAGAUGGGUUUUUAGGAACAAGCUUGAUGACCAUGGAGUGAUAACCCAAAAUAAGGCUUGGUUAAUCGCUCAAGGGUACAACUAAGAGGAGGGUAUUGACUAUGAGGAGACUUAUGCUUCGGCCGCUCGACUUGAGGCCAUGUGUCUUCUUCUUGACUUUUCUUGCUCUAAGAAUUUCAAAUUAAUUUAAGUGGACGUAAAAAGUGAAAUUCUAAAUGGUUACAUUAAUGAAGAGGUAUAUGUUGCUCAACCUCAUGGCUUUAAAAAUCACGAGUAUCCCAAUCAUGUUUUCUAAUUAAAACAUGCUUUGAAUGGUGGUACUUUAUUUAUCCCCUUGCUUGAGAACAUGUGUGUGCAACAUUUCGGGAGAACCAAAGGCAUAUGUCACGUAAUCGUAUCGAUUUUGUAGCAUGUCAAGUAUUUUUUGUUCACUUUAUUUCAUUCAUUAUUCAUGCUUGUGUUUUGUUUAUUUUUAAGCACUUGAUGUAGUAAUUAUAUUCUAUUCUUUCCUUCUUUGCUUUUAUUUAUGUUUAGGCAUUCUUAUUUAAUAUGUAAACCACUCUCUGUGAGUGCUAUCAUAUUGUUUCUCUUAUCUUUGCAUUUUGCCUCUCUGUGUUUUAUAUUCGUUUAUGUGUGCUUUCACAUUCGCUUCGUUUCUUUUUUAUGUUGUCAAAGGGUGAGAAGAAGCAAGAUGAAGUUUGGGAAUGCAUAUAUUCAGGGGGAGAAGUUAUACAUUACUUACGCAUCGUCUCAAGUUUUGCCAUAAUAAAAAAGGGGGAGUAUGUGAGUGCAUCUUCUGUUAAGUUCCAUUAUGAGUGUUUUGUAAGAUGUCAAAACUAGGAUUCUUUAGUGCUUAUGUACAUUGGACGGUAUUCUCAUAUUCUCUAUGUGCAUUUCAGCAUUAGGAAGCAUACAAGUCUUUGGAAACAUCUUUGAAAAGGCCUCAUGCAUUAAACAUGCAUCAAAAAUUAAGUUUCAUAAAAAUAUUGCAGGACAGGUCGACACAUUCCAAGACAGGUUGACCUAUAGUGAAAGUUUUCAGCCUGUAGGUCGACACAUUUGUGUCAUAGGUCGGCACGUAUAAUGCAGUAUUAAAGCCUGUAGCUUUUGUUUCAUGUGCUGACUCCACAAGUUGAUACAUAGGAGGCACAUGACAUUGAUAGGUCGACACAUGACCUUUAACAGGUCAACCUAUGCCUCAUACAGGUCGACACGUGACUUCAAUAGGUCAACCUAUAGGAUGAUUUUUUUUGCAUAUUUUCAUAUGUUCUCAAAGUUCAUUGCAUUCCUUUUUGCUCUCAUUCACCCAUGCAUAUAUAUACUUCAGACAUGUAUCAUUCCCUAGCAAGGUUUCUAGAGAGAGUAAAAUCUACAUGAAUCUAGUACUUCAAAGCAUCUCAUCAUCUUCAAUUUAAUCUAUACAUACACACAACCAAACUACACAUAAUCAUUUUCUGAUUCGGUUCCAUCUAGAUUAGGAUUGAUAACAUCUAAUUAGGUUUGUUGUACUGAGAAUAUUGGGUUGAGAUAUUUGAGGGAUUCAAAUCAGAAAACUGAGGUGGGGUUGGACAAGAUUGUGCAAUUAGGAUCGGAUCGAGUGAAAGCUUGGGACCUGGUGUGUCAUGCAAGGGAGUGGCGUGAAAUGGUGGAUCGUGUUGACAAAUCUUAGGUUCAAGGAGUAUGCGCUUGGGAUUAAUUCAGCCAAAUGAGCUCCUUGAGACAAGGAGGUCGUGAAACUAAGUAGCAACAACGGUUGAAUUGAAGCAGCAUUGUUGGUGUCUUGAUCAAUCUUUGAUCAAGGUUUUCGCAGGUGCUAGAGUCAAGAACAAAAUUAGAGUUUGUGGGAUUAUAUCUCUCAUCUUUUAUAUACAUACAUUUGCAAAGAUUUAUUAUAAUAAUAUCUCAAUUCGAAUUCGAAUUAAGGGCAGACGUACCCAUAACGAGGUCGAUUCGGGAGCUUCCUAAACAAAUUCUUGUGUACUCUCUAUAUAUCUCUUUUAUUUUUCGAUUCGCAAAUUGUCGAUUGAUUUGAUCACCGGAUCAUAAUAGUUUGGAAGAUAAUUUUAAUUACAUUUUGAAUCUUGUGUUUGUUGUAUUGAUCACUAACCAUUUGGUUGUGAUUGGAUUUCUUAGAACAACAAACACCAUAUAAAAUUCCAAACUUUGUUUUUCGCACACCAAGUGUUCGAUAAAUUGUUUGACAUAGCUUUUUGUGUGUGUAUAUCAUUGGAGGUAGAUUUUUACUAUUAUAGGGUAUUCAAUUAGUUAUGCUUAAUUUUUGUUGAUUGACUUGUGAAUUAUUAUCAUAACAUUGACACCUUUACGCAUAUUUGGGCUAUUGAAUAGUAGGUUCGGUUAGACGAUUUUUAAUCCGGGAAAUAUUUGAAACUUGCUUAUGCGCCAUAAAUUUUGCUAAGUCAAAUUUUUGGAUAAAUUUUUAACUUGGGAUCUAUUCACACACACCCUAUAGAUCUAGGCAUAUCGUCUAACAAACAUAUCCUUAAAAGAUUUCACUCUUGACCCUAUAAUUUUUCAUUCACAGACCAUCAAUGUAAUCCCUCUGGAUUACUAUACUCAAAUCGCCAAUAAAGGUCAUCAAUAUAAUCCCUCUAGAUUACUAUACUCAAAAUAUGUUUUGAAAACAACUUUAAUUAUUUUUUCAUCAAAAGGGGUAAAGUUGUGUUAUUACCCUAAACCUCCAGCUCAUCAAAAUACUCAAGGAACUCAAAAUGUCUCAAAACUCAUAAUCCUCAAAAAUAACCCUCGAGUACCCUAAAAGUACUCUAAGGUACCCAAUGAUCUAAGGGUAAUGGUUCACAGUGAUAACUCUAUUAGGAUAAGAACAAACAAUUUUGCUCAAUUUACUCAAAAGUGACCUUAAGGUCACAAAAAGGAUUCUAAAAACACAAAUUACUAUAAAAUAUCACCGCAAGACUCCCCUACUUGAAAAAAACUGCUAAAAAUGCCUAAAGCAUGGAAAAAUGCUGAAAAUGCCUGAAACUCGAAAUCGUCGCCGGAAAAAUAGGUUGACCGCUGAUUCCUCCCCCCUUAACCAGUUUUUUUAUUUUUUCCAAAAAUUUUGUUUUUCGACUUUUUCCUAAAAAUAUAAUUUUUCAAAAAGAGAUUUCCAAUUUUUAAAUUUUUGUCAUAAACCCGAUUUUUCUUUAAAAUUUAAAUUAAGGUUUUUUUUUAUGUAUUUGGGAGAAUUUCCAAAAAUCAAUCGAUUCAGAAAAAAAAUAAGGAAAUAUAACAGAUACCACACAUUUGGGAAAUCAAACAACUCAAUAGAGUCAUUCGAAAUCACCAGGAAAUUUCCCAAUUCCACAUUAGAAACAGCCAAACAGCAAAGGAAAUCAUACAAUCAAAUCAUCAACAAUACAAGGUUAUAAAUCUACAACCAAUAACACUCAUAGAGACAUUAGGGGAUUUAUCCCAAAUCCUCUUUUUAGGCCUCAAAGCAAUCACAUACAAAAUAUUCUCAAUCAAUCGCACCAAUAAGGUUUUGCCCAAAUCUUAUUUAGUUAAUUCAUAGAGAACGUAAGAAAAAAGAAAAAUUGAGGAGAAAACAUAUUACCCCAAGACGUUGAUAGGAGGGUAAGGAACCUUCACUAUCUUGCAUGCCUAAUUCACCCAUAAGCAACCCCCCCCCCCCCCCCCCCUUACCUUAUUUUUCCAGCAAAGAUGAUGAUUCCUCUUCUCAAGCCUAGCUCUCCUUCCCAAAAUUCUCUUUGUGCCUUCUGCCUCUUUUUCAUGUACUACCAUAAUUUUCUAACCUGUCUUUUCCCAACAUUUUAGAAUUUAUAUGACCUUUACUUCUCUAAAUUAUAAUUUUUGUCCAACUUACUUUCAAUAUCUCUCCUCUCGCCACAUACUCUUCUCCAUUCACACAAAUGUCUCAAACUCCUAUUUAUAUAUAUUAUUAUUUAAAUUAAAUAAAUAUUUACAUUAAAUAAAUAUUUAGUUUAAAUAAUUAUUUAAUUAGGAUUUAUAUACAUUUGUUACUAUUACGCCUUAUUACAAAAUAAUUAAUUAUGUCUAAAUUAUUUUCAAUAAUCCUAAUAAUAAUAUUUUAAUUAUCUGCUUCCAAAUCUCAUAACCCCGGUAAUUAGUAAAUUAUCAAAUUAUCUCUAUACUCCAAAAAACAUCAAAAUUCAAAUAUAAUGAAUAAAUCACACGAACAAUUAAAUAAAAAAUUCAAAUUAUAAGUUGGGGUGUUACAAUCGCCUGUUGUGGUAUCUGAUUAUCAGACACUUGUUAAAUAUGUGUUGGAGAAGCACCAAUGAAAUCAGUAAUUCGACACCUUUGUUGCGCCCAUUGUCGGUAACUCUGGUUAGUAUUAUGAAUCAAAUGAUUGUACAUUAUGCAUAUAUGUUGUGUCAACAUGCUAACCAUUUCGUGAUUACUCUCGUCCAUUUGUUGUCUUACAGACUGGAGAGAAUUAUUAGUUAAGGAUGGCAUCCCUGUAGGAAUAUAUGUUAACCCUCUUAGUGGUUGUGCCAUUCGACCAAGGUUUCUAAUAGGAAAUAUGCUAAGUAUGGAUUAACAGGUGAUAUAGUAGCCAUUGCAUUAUCUACAUCCGUAGAUGCACUAGGGUGUAGGCAUGUCAUCAUCGUAGUUGGCACUCCAUAAGAUUAUUCCCUACCACUUAAAGGUAACGUGAAAAUCAAGAGAAAAUAUGGCCUUUGGACACCUAUCAUAUUUUGUGUAGCCCUAGGGGUAGUGAGAACACUUGUUACUUGUGGUAAGGAUACCACCAUUUCUGGCGAUACAGUCGAUGCCAUUAUCAGACUUAUAACGAUAUGCAUUUCUCCAACAGAAGUUGAAGUUCCUAUGUUGUCAGCCGUUGAUUCGACUGGUUGUUCUUCUGAGUUUGAAGCAUUGUUCUCGGGAGGGGGAGUUUCUAGACAGUGGACGUGUCAUUUCAAGAAGAGUAUUUCCACUCAUUAGAAGCGUACAUACUCGACAACCGAAGUCAUUUGAUGAACGAAGAACAAAAUUUUGGACAAAAGAAACACAACUUUUAUGUAAAAAUUAAACUAUUUACACAAAAGGGUCCCACUGGGCGUGCCAAUUUUUUUACUGGUAUUUUUAGUAAACAAUCACGAGUUUAGUUCUCUUAAAAGAUUAACUUAAAAAAUCUCAAAGACAAUUUGUGCAAAGACAAAUUAUGGUGAAAAUUGUGUGUGAUUUGGAUUUAAAUGUUUGGAUAGUGACUAGUUAAAUGCAAAAGAUAGACUUUGGAUAAAAGAAAUAAAUGACAAAAAGAAAUCAAAUGAAGUAAAUGACAUUUAAUGUAAAUUCUUUGAAUACAAAAGAUUUGCAGAAAGGGUAAAUGGUGGACGUUACUCACAUGUCUCAUAAACCGUUUUGCUCUAUAACUUGAGUACUUUGGUUCUAUAGAGAAUUUGUGAUCUCAACUGCAAUGCAUAAGCUUGAAUUAGAUACUAUUACAAAGAAAAGUGUCGACAAUGGUUAAACCCUAUAAAUCUGACAUGUAUCCCACUACUUAGGCCUUCAUGCUCUAACUUGCCUCCACAUGUCUACAAGGAUAUAACUGCUAAAAAACUAAACAAACAUAGAGAUAACUAUACUGAUAAUCAUUUCUGAACAUGUUACCUACCUCUGUCGAAGGCGGAUACAUCUCCAAAUCACAUAGUCUUAGGACUUAAAAAUAUCCUAAGUUCUUAACACUUAAAAGUGUCGACUUCAUAUCGAAAGGUUGUUAUGUGAUCUUUUAAGAUUUUGAUCAUGUUUGGAAGAGAGAGUGAUCAUAAUCUUAUAGAUCUGUUCCUAAGACUCCUCUAAAUCAUUCUUAUCGUCGACUCCAUUUACAUCUUAGUUGAAUCAACAAGUCAAUACAACCAAUAUGUCGAAGUUUUUGGCUUAAGUUUUUAGACACUUAGUAAUGUCAACGUAAUUUCACCAUCAAUUCAUUGACUUUUCACUUAGCUAAAAAUCUUAGGCUACCAAUCA